AGCCCCGCCACCAUUACUGCAACAUUAGAAUCAAACCCUGAGGAAAUGUUUAAAAUCGCAUUUUGUUCCCGCCUCCCGCUGUGCCUGGCCCGGUGGGGCGUGGCUACAAUUAUAUUGGCCAAUAGCCAAGAAGGGGCGUUGUGGACGCGUCUGUCAACCAAUGGGAGCUGCUGCUGGUUGUGAUAGAUAAGGCAAGUGGCUGCGGGUUCCUGACGCAGUUGAGCAGUACCUGUGGGACGGUGCGGCUCUGCUGUGGUGAUUGCUAAUGGUAUUUCUUCACAAGAGGGAAUAAUCUGUGGCUUUGGCUGUCUUUUUCUGCCGCUGUACUGAAGGCUGUUCAGAUGUUUCUUUAUUCUUUUCUGCCUGUAGGAUUGUUUGGUGCCAAGGUUCCAACUCCUUUCUCCUUCAGUGGUGCUGGUUAUUUAUAGAGCUGACUGAGCCCAGUCUCUUCAGUGGACACGUGAUCGCUUCUUAUUGUAACUCUAGCAGUUUUAUUUGCUUUUAUGCAAGUGAGGCUGUGGUGUACAAUUAAUAGGAAUACACUCUCUCCAGGCUUUUGGCCUUUUUCAGCAGCGUUCGGAUACGGCCGAAUGAUUGUGCCUGGCACAUGCAAAUAAGGGUUCGUGUUCAGUAUUCGGCUGAAUCUUCAGAAAAUCAACUCAGACGGCAGCGCCCACUGGUUGCCAGGGGUAGCAAAAAUGCCGCUCCUGGUAACUAAGAGCCAAAUUUCAGUUUUUUUCAACUCGGAAAUUCAGCUCUUCCGCUCUCUGCACUAGCGACAUGGAUGCCGCGAGCCUCUCCUGCGCCGUGAAGAUGGGGGGGCGUGGCAGAACAAAGGGAGACAAAAUGGCCAGAAUCGCCCCUGGAUUCAGGAAGUUGUUCCAAAUUCAAAAUAGUGGAUUUGGUGCAUCCCUAACAGUUGUAUUGUGUGACUGCAUGAUAGCAAUAUAGUCUUGGAUUAAAGCAUAUCCUUUCCGAUUGAAUCGGACGCAAACCUGGCAAUUUAUGAAAGGCUACUUACUGUUCUUGCACCUCAAUUGAUGUGUGUGGCGUACUUCUCUGCAUAGGUUUCCAUUUAAAAAAUGACAGUUUAAAGAUGAUGUAGGCUUUGGUGACAUUUAAGCAUAUUUUGCUUUGGAAUACACUUGGCCUUGGCACAAUAGUGAUGCUCCAUUUUUAAAAAAAGACGUUUUGCAUAAUUUGGCUUUAACCAAAAAUUGUAAUUUUAUGCAUAAACAAACCUGUUACACCAGUUUAAUCUUAAGGCCACUUUUCUGAAUUUUCCUCCGAAAUGAGAUUAGAUCAUAUGAUCAUAGUGCAUCCAAGUGCGACAUGAUCCGACACUGCCAUUACUUACCUUGUUUCCGUCGCAUCCGCCUUGAUGCCUUCAAUUUUGCGCAGCGCGUUGGAUCGCUGGGAAAUUGGCCGCGUAGUCCUGCCCUUAUACUAAAUGAAUGUGCUGAUAAACUGAUUAAAAUCCAUAUCUUUAAUCUGAGACCAAGUUAUGCUGCUGCCAGUGCUUGAAUGCAGAGCGACAUGGAUAGCUAUGGCCACUCAUCAUUGUUUAGUUACAUAAUGCCGGCAAGUUACACACAUCUGUACAAUAAUAUGCAAAUCAUUGUAUGGCUUCAUUUAUUUUUAGGCUACAAAGAUAAUCUGCAAGUUCUGCUGAAUUUGUUUUGUAGGCUCUGCGUAGAGAUGUGACUUCUGAAAUUUCCCAUAUCUCCUGGGGCAGCAUGAAGGUUGGAGGGCACGUUUAUAAGGACUGCAAGGUCUGGCCAGGUGGCAGCAGGACAUGGGACUGGAGAACGGAUGUCCCAGCCGCUACCCUGGAAUAUAUCAAAACACAAGGUAUCGUGCCCUGGUCUUCCAAACAGAGAAGGCGGUGAAGGAGUAUAACUGUUUGGCUUCACAAGGCGCCAGAGUUGGGGGAGUUUUUCAUUCAACCUGCUGAUCCAAAAAGCCUGGGAACAGAGCAUGUUGGGUUGCAGAGAGUGAUGUCUGAAUUUACAUCUGUUGCAGUGAUACGAUGCCUUGCUGUGAUAUUAAAGGCUUGAGUCUGAAAUGGUA